rnacentral:lncRNA from 1 species
AUGAGCGUUUCAGAAGACCAGUCAUAUCUGGACAGUAAGAGACUGACGUCCUUCUUACCAGACAAAUCUUCACUGAUUGAGAAAUUUGACACAUGGCUUUUAAACAAUAUUCCAUUCACACUACAGGGUCUAUCCCACUGCAUGCUAUGUUUCAAACAAUCUGGUCCACUGAAGGCAAGGGGAUCUUUCAGCAUUUACAGGGGCGAAAAACACUCAACACAUGUUAGUGCCAGUUCAAAGUUGUUGCUUUUUCCCCUUGAAACAAAGAAGCAUUAUGAAGUCAACAAAACUGUUUCCACAUCAUGGAUAGAUUGGCAUGCAAUCUUCUCAAAAAGGUAUGAACUGUUGAAGCCUAGCUGCCAAAGGUUUUCAUAUAUUGUCUGUAUUCACAUGUGAACUUUGCUGAACUAAAAGGAGAAUGUACCUGACCCUA